rnacentral:lncRNA from 1 species
UAAUUAAUCCUAAAACCAUCCCUUGUCCCAGCCCUUAAUUCCUUUGGACACUGGCCUCUGAAAAUGCAUUUGUUAAAAACAAAACUAACACUUAAAAACCUUCCCUUUGUAUUGUGAAACAGCCACAUAAUGCCUCCCGACUCUAGUGGAUGACUGCUUACUAUGAUAAUUCCUCUGAAGAACCAGCCAGAUUUUUGUCAUCAGUGAGAGGGAUUGGGGAAGAAAAUAGCAUCAUCCUAUUGGCAGUGUAAUUUGUUUGUUUCUUAUCUGAGCAUCACUCGGAUGCUCAGUGCUAGGUUAAUCCAUCUGAACUACCUUUUGCACAUUUUUUUUUUGAAACCUUAACAGGAACUUGAUGGGUUUGCUGUAGCAGCUUCCCUGUGAAUUCUGUCCAAGCUGUAACAGCUACUGUACUGCCACUCACUGUUUCCUAGGGAACUCUUUCUUCUCCCAUGUUGGCUCAGUCUCCCUCACUCCAGCCCUGGGUUUGAAAUAUUAGUUGUGAAUUCCCAGGAAAUAUUAUUCCAUUUGCAGAUUAAGCCUGAUACUUAGCUGUCAGAAACCAGAGCUCUGCCUACUUAACUUUCUCAAAGUUUUCUAAAAGAAAACUAAUGAAAUGCUUGGGAAUGUAGGAGCAGCUGGUGAUCUGCCUUCUUCCUUCUCAUGGUAACUUUUUACAAAUGAGUCGUCCACUAUUUUAUAAAGAAUCCAGAGAUCUCUGGCUCUGCCAUAGCAACAACCUGCUGUUAAUUUAUGACACAGAUUUUUGUUUGGAGGAGCCUUAUUUGACAAUAUCCUUUUCAUUUAUUUUCUAGACUAUUGAUGUUCUUUUCUUGCUUACUCCAGGGUUGGUAGCAUAGUUGGAAGUGCCAGCACCUGGCAUUCAGAUAGAACAGGCUGUACUCAAGACAACCUUCAGCAUUUACUUUAAGACCUAUAUAAUUUAUUUCUCUUUUGUAUAUACUAUAGUCUUGUGCCUAUGUAGUUGAACAAACAGUGGAAUAUAUGUCUCUCUUUGUGGAUGUGUGGCCUAAAACUUUGAAUGUCUGACGAGAGAGAGCCGUGUGUAUAGGUCAGAGACAAGAAUAGCUCUCAACUCCUGAUGAGUGCCUGUGAUUCGUUUGCUGUGUGUUUACCUGGCCUAGUGUGCUGUUACCUUCAAACAGGAAGAAGUUUUACCUUCCGAGGCCCUUCUCUCCUGUCCGGUCUGGCAUGUCAGAGAACACUUAACCUGUGACAGUGCCCUUUUAAGCAGUUUACUUCAUUGGCAGUAAAUCUAGUUGCCUCAAAAAGUCCUACAUCAAGAUGGACUUUUCCUUUCCAGAAAUGGGAUCUAGUAUCUGCUCACUUUGGAACUGGGUGGACUAUUUUAACGUGGCUCCCAAAAUGCAAGGAUGGAAGAAAUCUGUAAGCCAAGCCAAGGAGGAAGUGCAAAGAAAGUAAACCUGCUGUUUUUGCCACCCCUUUCUGUUUGCUUGUCAUCGGUAGCUUUACUGUGCAUAAAGUUGUUUUGAAUGCAAUGCUUGUCAAAUAAAUAUUAUGAACCAUUUUGUAAAUGAAAUGUAUUAUGUUGAAAGCCGUCAGCAGUUCCAAAAUAAGCUUUUUUGUUGUUUGAAGACAAAGUGUGUUAGAUGAAACCAAAAAGCCAAAAAAAAGGUAAUUUCGUAUAUAGCACCUGACUAUACCUUGGGUCACUCUUCUGGAAUAUUUUGACUUUAGACUGUGUCACAGGCAGAAAAGGAGUUGAUGGAGAAUGGACUCUUAAAAACUGACGUGUUUGAAUCAGUGCUAGAGGGAACAGAUUGUGAAUUUUGUUUACAGCAUCCAAUAUUUGGAUUUUUUUGGUUUUUGUAAAUAAAAAGAAGUUAUUUUUUUCUA